rnacentral:rRNA from 1 species
UAUCCAACCUGCCGUCUACUCUUGGACAGCCUUCUGAAAGGAAGAUUAAUACAAGAUGGCAUCAUGAGUCCGCAUGUUCACAUGAUUAAAGGUAUUCCGGUAGACGAUGGGGAUGCGUUCCAUUAGAUAGUAGGCGGGGUAACGGCCCACCUAGUCUUCGAUGGAUAGGGGUUCUGCGAGGAAGGUCCCCCACAUUGGAACUGAGACACGGUCCAA